rnacentral:rRNA from 1 species
UGCCAGCCGCCGCGGUAAUACGGGGGGGGCUAGUGUUAUUCGGAAUUACUGGGCGUAAAGCGCACGUAGGCGGUAAAUUAAGUUGAUAGUGAAAUCCCAAAGCUUAACUUUGGAAGGGCUUUCAAAACUGAUUUACUAGAGGUUGAUAGGGGACAGUGGAAUUUCUAGUGUAGAGAUACAAUUCAUAAAUAUUAGAAGGAACACCAGUGGCGAAGGCGACUGUCUGGAUCAAUACUGACGCUGAGGAGCGAAAGCAUGGGGAGCGAACGGGAUUAGAUA